rnacentral:lncRNA from 1 species
UCUCGUGGUGGUAUUGGAAGUAAAUCAGGAGCAUGUAAAAGUUCGUCCAGGUCUUUAUAGCUUUUGUUUGUUGAUUGGUGGAGCGUGGGUAAGUAAAGGAAGAGAGCGAGACCAUUAGCGCCAGAAGUGAAGAAGUAAUAAGUCGGGAUUCCAAGGUUGGUAGCAACAGAGAGGGCACAAGUGCAAAAGAAGUCGAUGAUGAAUGCAGAGAUUCCAGCUGUCAAGGAGAUGGAGUGCAGAGCUUGGUGAACAUGAGGGUUGCUGAGUCGAAGGAGCUCGAAGUGGAGAGCUUCCAAGGAGGGGUAAGAGUCAGGGUCAAGAGGCGGAGAGGGCAGGUGGUGGAAAGUGAUGGAAGGGGUGGUGGCAGAAAUGCAAUUCAUGUAAGCAGCAGUGGAGGCUGCAGUGUUGUAUGGCGGGUUCACCACGAGAACAGUAACAGCCAAUCCAGGGUGGUGGUUGAGAGUGAACUUACCCAGCUCCACCAUGGAAACCAGGUGACCCAUGCCUGGAGAUGGAUACAGAACUAUAGUACGAUUACUCGCCAUCUCUCUAUCUCUAUGUGUUGGUACACCCAAUUUCCACAAUACUACGCGACUCUUUGAGCCAAUUGAGAGCCUCAAAAUUCCAAGUUCCAAAUAAAUAGAGAGUAACUUCCUUCAACUUUCCAUGGCCAAUAAAUGCAAUCAACUGACUAUGCUUUGUCAAGUCACCGUAGGCAAAAUCAAGAGAUAAUUUCAGAAACCUUGACGUUUCUGACAAUUUCACUUAGCUCUAUUAAGAUUUGAAAAAUUACACAUAUCUCUAUUGUUAUUUAAAAUGACAAUUAUUGGGAGUGUUUGGAUACCUUAAUUAUUUCAAAUAAUAUUUUACUUGCAUCACAAACACAUUUUAUAACCUACCUUUUUAUAUUCUCAAUCAUCUUUUUAUCUCACAUACAUCACAUCACAUCACAAAAAGUGCUACAAUAAUUAUUCCAAAUAAUAUUUCAAAUAAUACACUAUCCAAACAAUAUACUAUUCUUAAAUUUCCUUGUUUGAUAUGCUUAUACUUAGAAUGAAUUUAAACUUAUUUUUCAUUCUUUUUCCUUUUUAUUUUAUUUUUUUGCCAAUAAAAUUAUAAAAUUACUACUAUUAUCUCUAGUUUCUAUUGUGAUCAAAUGUCGAACUAAUGAUUUUUUUUAUGAGUUAACUUUAUAUGUAAUCCAAUUUUUUUGCUAAUCUUUGUUUUUUAUUUUUUGGUAUUAAAAUUAACAAUAAAUCAAAAAGAAAUUGUCCAAAAUCACUACUAAAUUAUGAUAAUUCCACUACUCAAAAAAUUCAUAAAUUCUGAAUCAAUUAUUUUAAUAUUUUAUUUUCUAUAUUAUAAAUAUAAAUUCAUAAUAAAAUACCAUCAAAAGUAUUCUAUCAUAGUGAUAAAAUUAUUAUUAUAAUUAUUUAUUAAAUAGUAGGUAUGGACAUGAAAAAUUCGGCACCUUUUCCUUAUAAUUACAUUAGAUAAUCUUAUAAUUCUAUAAAGAAGUAAUUUAAAACUUAUUACACAAGUGCAUUUUUGGGUAUUUAUUUAAAAAUUUGAUCAAAUCAAUAUUAUUUUAAGAUUUUGUUACUAAAACUAUUAAAUCAAUGGGGGUAUAUACAAUUUUUUAAAUUUCAAAUGAGCUCAGUGAAAUUGUCAGAAACCUCAAGAGAAGUUUCUGAAAUUAUUUCCAAAAUCAACUUGUCUUUGUUUGUGCAAAGGUCGAGUCACCAUUUCUCAUGGACAUCCAAAACCUACGACAUCCAAAACGGCGUACGUUGCUGGGAAGUGUCUUUGAGCAAAGGGAUAAUUUCAGAAACCUCACAUAAAAUUUUUGAUAAUUUUACUCAGACUCCCUUGAAGUUUUCAUAAUUAUGAAAACCUCCUUUGGUAUGAUAAAAAGAUAACAAUACCCUUCAUUAAUUAUCAAUUCAUUGAAAACCUCUAUCAAAUAUUUAAGAUUUCUCAUCUAUUAUCAACUAAUAAUUCAAACUACAGUUUUUUCUAUUUAACUAUCUAUCCACUUUCUCCUAGAUCUAUUUUCCUUUGAAACUUAUUUAUUUAUUAUUGUCAACCAAAUGUACACUGUCGCUAUUAAUAAAAUUACCAUACACACCAAACCACAAAUACUUAUUUAUUUUGGUAUCGAUUUCCAAUUCUCAAUUUUUCAUUAUUAUUAAAUAGUUUCCUUGCGCCCAUUUUUGUUUUAAAUUUUUAAUAGGCAUUAGCAAAUUGAAAUUGUCAAAUGACAAAUUGAGUGCUAAUUUGAUUAUCAAACUAGAUGAAGAUGAAGAUAGUGAUAGAGAUAAAAAUAAAUAAAACUUAAGGAUAGAAAGUUGAAUAGGAACUAAAUAUAAAUUAUACUGCUAUAGUUGCCAUGAAAAAAAGUAUUUUUGGUAUAUAUUUAUAACUGCUUUGUGUUUCUAUUUUUUAUUUACAAUUAUUGAUGUUAUUACUAUAGAGAGAAUUUGAUUGAUUUUGAACACUGUGCCAAUGGAGUAUAUUGGAUAUUGAUAUUAGUAGUAAUAGUUUAGAUUAUUUUGUAUUAAAAAGUUUGGCAGGCAUGGAAUUAAAAUUUAGGUAUAUUCAUGAAAAAUCUUGUAUAUGAAGUAAUAUCUAAUAUUGAUAUGAGAUUGUAGGUAAACUUUUGAAUAUCUGAUAUAGCGUUUAUAGUUGAUAUAAUAGUUUGUGUCAUAAAUUUUUAGAUAAAAGAAAAACAUUAGAACAAAGAUAAGUGUUUAUUUAAUAGUGAUUUGGAUGUUGAUGAGUAGAUAAUAGUGAUAGUAAGUAAAGAUAAAUAAAAUAGAGACUAUGAAUCAUUUUUUUUCCUUUACAUUUUUGUUGUGAAUUAUAACUUAAGGACAUUAUAGGAAUUUUGAGAAAAAGUACAACUUUUUAAGCCUAGAAUGUUACUGAAAUAGUGAAAAUAGGGGAGAUAAGUGUAAUUUUUAGAAUCUGAAGGGAGUUUUCUGCAAUUAUCAAAAACCUCAAGAGAGGUAUGCGAAAUUAACCCUUGAGCAAAAGUCCAGACAACUUAUAUAAUUUUUUAUAUAUUGUCGAUUUUAACUGAAUAAUAAUUAUAUAAAAUUUAAUUUUUAUUUAUAUAUCAUAAAUUUAACGGUGAUAGUGUAUAAAUUAUUAGUGUAUAUAAUAAGUUACAUGAGCAAAUAAGUCGUUAUUAUUAUUUUCUGGUGAAACCUUAAAUAUAUAGGACUCUUUUGAUUUUUGCCCUUUUCCCUAGACCCCUCUUGCCGUGUGAACGCUGGUUUAUCAAAGUUUACAGAAGCACAUACAUCAUUGUUAUUUUCUCAUGAAACCUUAAACUGCCUUUUUUUUUUUUUUUUUUGUCGACACUGGGGUGUUCGGGUCAAGACCCGAAGGCGGCCCGACUAAUCCCCAGCGGCUCGGGAGGAGAGGCCCCAUCCCCCCAAGCACGGUAACCCUGCACGACUCGAACCCCUGGCAAGCGCUCCUAAGGAGGCGUGCGCUGCCAGAUGAGCUGCCCAAGAGGGGCCUUAAACUGCCUUCAGUAGUCCAUAAGAUACAAUCUAACAAAAAUUCCGCCUGCAAAGAAAUUUGCCUGGAUCCUCCUCAGAACUCCUCAAAUCUCGUCUCAAUGGAAUCUCAGAGAGGUUUAUAUUUGAUUUAACUAAAAGUAUGUCCAACAAACACUUUUCUUAAAUAGUCUGUUGAAGGGUAAAUUUCUUGGAAUAUUGAUUAAAGAAAAAAAUGUUGGAAAAAUAUGAUCCUGUAGAGGUGGUUUUCUUGUUAUAUGCCCGUUGAAUCCACUGGAUACGACUGGCAAUUUUUUUUAUUUUUUUAAUCUAAAAUACUGAAUAUGCUGGCCGGUUAUCUAUUUUGUAGCAGGGACCAAUUUAUAAAUAAGGCUUUUUUUUCUUUUGCCUUUUGAGCGAACUGAUAUGAUCAGAAUACAUGAUAGUGCUGGAAACAACUUUUUAUUUCAUCCCCAAGCUAAGUAAAAUCUUUUCCGGUGCUGCCGUCGAGUUCUUUUGAAAAUCACAUAACAAGUCAUGUAGAUUUUAAGUAGGUUUAAUCAUAUAUUAGUAAAUACAAAUUUGAUUUAUAUUUACAUAAAGGAAAAUAGUUGUGACACAAUUUACGAGCAAGAAAGUUUUUAAUGAUUUUCAAUUUUUUUCCUACCUGGAGAAAACAAAAGUCUAAACUUGAAAUAUAAUAAGAACAGAGAAAUAUUAAAAUUAGAGAUCAUAUAGAGUAAUUAUGAUUCAACUACAUACAAAAUGGUAAUUAUCUUAUAAUAGGAAAUUUUUUAAAAAUCAUGAGAAGGGGCAAGGGACUUGAAUCCAAGACCUCUAAUUCUUAAUACUUCAACCUUUGUCAUAGACCGAGGAUUUGAUAACAGAGAUUAGGGGUGGCAAUGGGGCGGGGGACUCCUCCCCCACCUCUCGCCCCCCUGCUUCACCCACCCCGCUUUCCCCGCAGGGGUUAAAAAAUUUUGUUAUAUAAUUUCAUUAUAAUUAAAUUUUAGCAAAUAAUCAAGUACUAAAAUAUCAACACAUCACCAAAUUAUUAUUCAUUGUAAUUUCACAAUUGAAAUUCAUAAAAAUAAUUGAAUAAAAGUUAUUUGAGUACAAUCUAAUAUGAUAUAACAAAUAUAACAAAAAUAAUUAAGUUUUCACUUUUGAUACAAAUACAAUCACUAAAUUAUUAUUGUAUUUUUUUUAGAAAAAAGUGUUAUUGUAUUAAGUGUAAUUAGGAAUUCAAUAUAAAUGUAUUAAUAAAUUUAGUAUAAAUAAUUAAUAAUUUUUAUUAAUAGACAUGUAUAAUUAGUAGUAUAAUUGAUAAUAUCAAUUAUAUUACAUAUACUAAUAUACAUUAAAUGAUACAUAUAACUAAUAAUAUCAUUAUUAUAAAUUUAUAACUAAUUAAAUUAAAUAUUAUAUAUAUAAUUAUGUACAUAUAUAUAUAGAUAUCUUUAUUUUUUUUAAAUGGGUGGCGGGGCGGGGUAAUCUAAACGCAUGGAAAAAAUUUCCCCCCGUCCCCGCCCCAAUUGCCCCCUGUGGGCCCUCGGCCCCAUUGCUAUCCUUAACAGAGAUGUAACAAAAUCAACACUAAGAAGUGACCUAUACACAACGAUUUAGAGUAAAAUAUACAGUAAACUUCUAUAAAUUAAUAUCUUCUAUUAAAUAAUAAUUUUUUUGAUCUCGAGUUGGAAUAACAAGUUAAAUUAACAAUUUUGAUGAAAUAAUAAGAUAAUAUAUAUUUUUUGAAAACUUCAUCUAACUUUUUGGUACUAUUCAUAUCAUAAAUUAAUAAUUCAUCAAAAUUACAUUUCAUAUUUUAUAAAAAUAUGAGUUUAUUAUUUUUUAAAAAAUUUAAAUUUACUUAAAUCUCAUCUUUAGUUUUAUAUUCAUUAAACUUUUAAACUUCUUUUAUUAAUAAAUUAAUUCAUUUUUUUAUAAAAAGAAUAAUGAGCAAUCACUUGACGCCAACGAGUAGGAAAAAGGACUAACCAAAAUGUUUAAAAGCAUUAUGCUUAAUUAUUGAUCCCAGAAAACAAAUUUUGCAAUAGUUGAUUGUCCUAAUAAAUCUUGACUUAACCCAAAAAAAGGGAUAAAAAACAAGUAAAUUGGUGUGUUUUGUCAUAUAACCUAUGAGAUUAGAAAUAAAAGGUAUUCAAAAGGUGCAUCAUCUUCACAUGCAAGUCAGACGGUUUCGGAUACCACCAAAUCACCUGAUCAUAACUUUGUACUCAAAUUAAAAAGUUGCAUGUCCUUUUUAAUCAAGAAAAUAUAUUAAAAAAAAAGCAAAAUCAGGACUCUUUAUAAUCUUCACAACAAAUUACAGCAAUGGAGGAGUGGCAGCAAAGACGAUGAAAUUCGGGUGGUGGUGGACGAGCCUGUUGGUAGCGGCAGUGGUUGUUUGGUGGAGGAGCUACGGUGGGCUAGGAAACGACAGCAGAUAUUCGCGUUUGGGAAACUUCUGGUUGGGGUAGAUACUUCUUUGUUUGGAUUGCAUUUUUUUAAAUUUUUUAUUGCAAAAUUAUUGUAACGAUUUGAUAUAUGUAAAGUAAAAAAGUGAUUGAAGAUAUUUGUUUGGAUUGACCUUUAUUUCCCCAAAUAUAUUUGCUUACAUUAUCAUUACAAUUUCCAAUACAUCUUUUUACCUUCCCAAUUACCUUUUCAUCUCACAUACAUCACAUCGCAAAAAAUGCUACAAUAAAAAUAUCUCAAAUAACUUACAAUCCAAACAAACCCAGGAGUGUAGCAAUUUUUUAAAAUUUUUUUAAUCCAAUCAAAGCCGCCCUACAUAUAGAAAGUAGUUGUUUCGCAUGUGCUCUUUUUGCUUGAUCAGUGAAGAAAAUAUAGAAAGUAGUAAAAGAUUAAGCUCUUAUGUCUUAGACAUUUUAUUUUGGAUGAGAAAUGAAAGUCUCCUCAGUGCCGUUGAACGCUAGAUGUACAGCUUUUUUAACCUUUGCUCGCACAUAUAAAUUUCUUUUAUAAUGAAUGAAAUUAUCCUUUUGACAAAAAUAAAUAAAUAAAUCAAUCAAAGCCGCUCCACUUGUUUCCUUGUUUUGUAGGUCAAGGUCCGGUCUGAUUGAAAAAGUCAACUGGUGGACCCGGAAACUUUUGACCGCCUACUUUGUUAGAAACCCGGACCCCUUUCGAAAGGGCAAACGUCUUUUCAACAUUAAUACGUCCAAAAUUGAAAAUACAUAGCACUACAUAGACUCCGCACCAGCCACAAAAAUCUGAUCCCCAACACCAUGAUUCCCCUUUCCGCUGUUCCACUUGAAUUUGCACGCUAACAUACCACCAUCACAUGCGUACAACAAAGACGAAGAAUUAUCGGUCCUCAAGUCUACUUGGGAUUCUCUAUGUAAUUACUUGGUGUCAAAUUCAGUGUCAAUCUCACUUAUCAUGAUAAAAGAAAUUUAAAUAAAUAAUACAUGAUAAAUUAAAUAAACGGGACAUUUGAUAUAAACAUAAAAGUAACACUGAAUUAUCACUGAAAAAGUGAUAUUAAGGAUCUCGUGUUCCCCAAGUCAACAUACCGGGACAUCAGUCAAGUGAUAUUAUUAUAAGAUUAAUUCAUGGUUCAAUUUUCAAACCCUUUUCUUUCUUCCUUCCCUCUUCAACUCUGCAAAACAUAAAAAUCUCCUGCUAGGAAAAAAAAUACAUAAAUAAAUAGUGAAUCUGACCUGAAGACCCGACCCGGUUUGGGAUUAUUGAGUUGGCAAAGAGAGAAAAUUUUAAAUUUAUGAUGAUGCAUGCCUGGGAGACUUGGUGGCAACUACUCCUAGCUAGGAGCAGGAAGGGUCAGCCGCAAGGGCGGGUCUAGGACCAAUCCAAAUCCGAGACAUGAGUGAGUGCAACACUUGUUCCCAUGAUGACGCUGCUCUCAAACACUCACUGCAACAUUGCACCGAGUUAUCUACAGAACUCAUUUGGGAAAACAUCCAAAGAAUUAUUAAUUGGGUUGCGACUUAACGUUUUCGAGGAUUCAGAGGAAAGCCUCAAAACCUAAACUCAGAUUCUACUAUUUCGGAUUAAAAACUCUCUGUUGAAAAAACUCUCCUCAUAAACUAAACAAUAGCAUACUGUCAUAUGUUAUACUCAAAAUAUAUUUGUUGACAUUCAAAUAACAAUAAAUCCUUCCAGUAACAAAUUAAACGCACAAAAUAUAUCCAUCCAUAGGGUUUAUUAGUUUAUUAUUGCAGUGAGACUGGUGCAAGAAAAUGCGGCUAAUUCCCAGCUUACUCCAGCUUCCUCCAGGAUUCUACCAAUUUGGCCAAUGCCACAAUGGAUGAGCCCCCAUCAGCCAUUGCUUGCUUUGCUUCCUCCUUCUUUGCCUGGGCUGUUUCCCUGAUCACCUUUCCUUCCUCCGAAUCCAUCAACCCCCUAACUCGCUUCUCGAUUUCAGCCGCUUUCACGAACCCACCUUCCGUACUUUCAUCCAUUGGUAAGGCCAACUUCAUCUCCUCAACUAAGAACAGCCUAUUCAGCUUCUGCUCAGCAUAAAGUGGCCACCCCACCAUAGGCACACCCGCACAGACUGCUUCCAACACUGAGUUCCACCCACAGUGGGUCACAAACCCACCCACCGACCCAUGAUUCAACACAUCCACCUGCGGUGCCCAAGAACUCACCACGAAACCCCUACCCUUUGACCGGUCCAAAAACCGGUGGGGAAGCAACAAAUCCAGAUCUGGGGCGGGUGGAGUUUGAAAGCGGUUGGUUUUGUCCUCAGAAGGCGGACUGCGCACCACCCACAGGAACUUUUGCUCGCUCCUCUCCAACCCGAUGGCUAUCUCUUUCAGUUGCUCAGCUGGAAAUCGACCCACGCUCCCAAAGCACAAGAAUACAACGCUUCGACUUGGUUGCAUAUCCAGCCAUUUCAAACAUUCAUGCACACCUCCUCCCGUUCCACCUGCUGCACCUCCACCUUUCCCGUUGUCUGAUGCAAUCAGAGGUCCUAAGCUGAAAACAGGCGGAGUGGGGCCAUCCGGAACAUACUUUCCAUCAGCGAUUGAUUUCAAGAUGCUAGGUUCGAGCGAUUCGAACGUGUUGACUAGGAUCCCGGACGAUUUUGCCAAUUGCGUCGCAACAUCUAAGAAAAAUGCAUACUCAGGAGACGUUCUUUCCAGCAAAGGGACUAACAUGUCUCGUGGUGGUAUCGGCAGUAAAUCAGGAACAUGUAAAAGUUCGUCCAGGUCUUUAAAGCUUUUGUUUGUUGACUGGUGGAGCGUGGGUAAGUAAAGGAGGAGAGCGAGACAAUUAGCGCCGGAAGUGAAGAAGUAAUAAGUCGGGAUUCCAAGGUUGGUAGCAACAGAGAGGGCACAGGUGCAAAAGAAGUCGAUGAUGAAUGCAGAGAUUCCAGCUGUCAAGGAGAUGGAGUGCAGAGCUUGGUGAACAUGAGGGUUGCUGAGUCGAAGGAGCUCGAAGUGGAGAGCUUCCAAGGAGGGG